GUACAUAUCUCACUUUGGCAGCACGUGUAGUAAAAUUGGGAUGAUACAGAGAAGAUUAGCAUGGACCCUGCAAAAGGUUGACAUGUAAAUUCACAAAGCAUUAGGGCUGUUA